AAGUACCCAGCGUUGUUCUCUUCCUCAGGUAUGUCUUGAUUUCGAGGACGAAAUCUUUUAAAGUUGGGGAGAAUGUAAAGUUUUUGACUUAUCUAUAUAUAUAAUUAGUAUAAUGACUUUUCAACUGUGGGUCCCACCUGAGUUAUAAGGGUCAUUACAGACCCAUUUAAUUCCAAUUUGCUUUCUCUCUCGGGCAGCUAAAAUCUCUCUCUCGCUGCUUCUGUUUUUUUUCUUUUCUUUUUUCUUUUUCAACUUCAAUCCUUGAUUUCUCUCUCAAUUCUUGGCGGAUUUAGGUGCCGUUUGAGGCAAAACGACGAGCACGACGAGCUCUACGUGCUAGUACCAGAAAUUCCAGCUUUUGGUCAUCUUUGGGAGCUCGAAUUUAAGGACCCAAUUUCAAGGGUUUUGUUCAAUUUAGAGGAAACGGGAAAGAAGUGGCGGAUGACUUUCCACCACAGGCCUAAUUUGGAUUAGAAGACUUCUUUUUGCUAUUUUUGUAUUAAGUCCCAUAUUUUUGUAAAAUCUUAGUUUGUUAUAUUUGGUAUAGAGAUUCGUGAAACUCUUGUUAUUGUAACUAUAUUUUGGGACUGUAAUUAUGAUAAUUUGGAUUAAACGA